UGUAUUGUCAUCGUCUUGGUUGGCAGCUCGGAUGCCUGGUGGGGGUCCAACAAACAGGCUGAGAAAAAGGAAACAGUCCCGGGGGGCAGUGAGGCCAAGGACGUAACAUCCAGAAACACUGGAGAAGAGCCCAUCGUGCAAACCGUUCAUUACUUCGUGAACGGUACUACGAUUCCUACCAACCUGUGCUGCACAACUUGACCAAGUGACAUCAAUGAGUGUAACGAAAACACUUGCAAGCAUGGGCAAUGUAUGAGCCAAGCUGGUAGCUACAAAUGUAUCUGCUCGCCUGGAUGGACUGGACAGAACUGUC